AUCAAUUUUUAUAACUUUCUCGACAAGAUUCUUGACUUCCUCUGCAAUGGCUGAAAUCUCUUUAAUGGCAUUUUCGACAUCAGCCUUAGCACCACGUACCGAUACGGGUGUAGUUUCUUCAGUUGAAACGUCACCUAUGUCUAUUUUAACAUCAAAUUGAGUUCUGAUGUUUUCCACAGUAGAACCGUUACGACCAACGACCCGUGAAACCGCCUUUGAAGGGAUGUCAAUCGUCGAAGUAUAAGCAAUCGAUUUUUCAUACUCGUAAAGCUCCAAGAGCUCUUGCUUGGCUGCAGCUACAGAUUUUUUACCACCACGAAUAACAACUUCGUCAGGAGAGGUCGGUUUCAUCAGCUCAUUACCGGUAGAAUUGGAAGAAUCGUCUUCACGUGGAAAACGAACGCGAACCGAGAAUUUUUCCUCC